GCUACAUAUGAACCAAACGUUGC
rnacentral:siRNA from 1 species